GUACAUAUAAAAAAUGCAUUGAAAGCAGAAAUGGAUAAAUGAAUAUAUUUCUGUUCAUUUAAAUGAGACACGUGUCAGCCAAACAUAUAUGCUCUCUAUUUCCUCUUACACAUAAUUAAAUGCUUCUAUAAUUUGAUUUCUACGAAGAAAGAUAUACACGAAAAUAUCUCAAACAGUUAAAAGUAAUUCAGAAUGGAGUAUCGAUUUUUAAGAUGAAAUUUUAAAUACAGAUGCAAACGAAACUGGUAUUUCGGAAAUAUAUUAUGCGGGACAGAACCAUUUCUAUUCGAUAGAAUGUCAAAACAACGUGUCAGGUGCACGGUGUUUAACGGUGUCCAUGUUAAUGGGAAUAUCGCGUAUGUUUUUCGCCAAAGCUGAUGCAUUGCACGUCGCAAACAUACGCGAGCGGCGCGGGCGGCACGUUCAACGCGUAUUCUCGCGUUACACCGCGACGGUGGUAAUUAUAUCUCUGUGGGAAUGCGGUACGGAUCGAUGUAAAAUUCGACACGCCGCAAAGAGGAUGUUAAUGAUUAACAAUGGUAUCACGUGAUUAUGCGUGCAUUCCAUGCUGCGUGCACUUGCAGAGGUAGGCGUGAUUACGUGGGUCUAUAUAUACGCUAACCGUUCGGUUCGCACAUCCGCGAUAUGAUCGCGGUAAGGAUUUAUUACUCCGGACGAUUUCAUUCAACGUGUAGCCGGUUCAAGGUGCAACGGGGCGCGAUGGGGAAAUUGGUGAUGGUGUAUUUCGUCAUACUGAUCAUAACGUUACCUUUUACGCUGUAAGAUCAUAGUAUGCUUGUAAAUGAGUAUAUGGUGAAGUAUGGUGAAGUCUCAUGAUCAUGACGGGUUGUAGUAUGUAAAAAGUAAUGCUGACGCGUUUGUCAUAAUUAAUGCAAUUUUUAAGAGACGACUUUAUAAAAGAAUUGCGCUCUUCAAGGCAAAAGGAAGUCGCAGAAGGUGCGUGCGGUUGCGCGUUGUUCACCGUUCCGGGAACAGACCCGGUGGUGGAAGAAACGCUCCAGUAUAACGUAAGUUGCAAUGAGGAAGGUACUAUGAAAUGUCAAGAAUUGUGUAAUGCUUUGGCUUAUAGUUCUCACCAUAAGGCGCCAAUGAUAAUUUGCGAGAAAUUAAAUACGCGCGUCGAGAAGUUGAAGGUAAGCAAAAUGAUAAUUUUGUAGUAACAAUGUUAUAUAGCGUUUCUUUGCUUUUUAUAGGUAUAUCUGAAAAUAUGUAAUAUGGAGCCUUGGAAAUUUACCGGUUUGGAGAGUGCACAGCCUAUUUGUUGCCGCGACGGGAAGGCAGUUCUCUGUAAUGAGGCAAUGUAAUGAAGAAAGAAAAAUGAGCCAAAUACAAGUUAUUAUUGCCAAUUAAUUAUCAUCAUCGACAAGUAUUCUGCUGUUAAUUGCGUAAUAGUUUAGUAAGAGUAAUAUAAUACGUGCAACAGCUACAUGACACAUCAUUUUUUGUUAUAAUGAAAGAGAACUUAUACUUCUUGUCAUAUUAAUGUAUGGCAGUUUUUAAUUUUACAUUUUUAUUUUUAUAAAUAAUUUUUGAGGAUUUAUGAAGCAAUUACGAGAGCAAUUAUAUAUGUGUGUUCGAGUAAUAUGUACCGAAGAUUAACAAAAUAUGUACGAAAAGAGGAGCUCUAUUAAAUUCACAUAAAAUUCAAAAAAUACUUUUAUUAUAGUGCAAUAUGCAUUUAUAUUUUUUAUCCCUUUAUAAAGCUUAAAAAUACCAAGAUAUAAAUAAUAAAAUCCGAUUAUAUACAUAUGAUUUAAUAAUAUUGAUUCUGUAGUUCUCUUUCGCGCGCACACACGAAAUAUCUGAUUUGUCACAGAAUAAAAGAUCUUCUCGGUAAAAAUUUGCGUGUCUUGCGCACCGUUUUGUUCUAAUAAAAAAAAUUGUAUGAGUUAAUCACAAUUUAUAAUUUUAAUUUAAAUGACGGCAAGCUUACCAAUCUUGACUUUCCAGUAAACUUAGAAUAACUGCUUCCUUAACAAAAUUAAGAUACUAAGAGUUUUUAAAAGAGUUUUAUGCAUUUUAAAGUUGUUAAGAGUUUCUUACGAAUUUAUCUAAAAAUCUAAAAGUUAUUAUAGGCUCCUGAAACUUAAAAAUCCAUUAUUUAAAGCAAAGAAAAAAGCUCACUUCAUGAUAAAACAUACUCCUUUUUAGUCGUUUAAUGCUUUUCCCUUUUUCUUUUAAUUUCUGUUAAUACGUAUUCACAGAUCCGAAUUGCCUUCAAUCCUAUUCCGCGUUAAAUACUUCUUUAUUCAAUAGUCUUUUAUUCAUCAUGAAAGUAAUUUAAAUAAAAUAACUCUUUAUCGAUGUCUUUUAUCGCGAGGUGUUCCUUUCAAAUUCAGAAAUAUGAUAUAUAGGAAAAGUUACUGGAAUUAUUACAGACAGAUUUUUUGAUAGUGUAAGAGAUGUGUCUGACAGAUAUGCAACGAUCUAUUCUGUGAAGUUUCGGCGAUGUUUCGAGACCAAGCUCCGAUUGUCGGUAGAGAUUUAAUCCGGGCACCUAUUCUCUCCGACUCCGCGUAUCUAAAAGUCAAAGCUCAAGGAGAAGGCGCUUGAAAGCAUUAAACGGUAUUCGUUCCCAACCGAAUCUCCUUUAGCAAAGUUGAAUACACGUACGCAGUUCGAUUAUACAGGGUGUAUCGUCAAAUAUGGAAAUCGAGCGUGCACAGUUUUUGACGUAUACGCGAUCGACUUUUUUUCGUAUACGUUCCGGAUACUUGAUUACAAAGCAAUUAAUUAUCAAAAGAUUUUAUUCGAUUAAGUUUUAAUAGAGAUGAUCAUAAAUAAUAAAACUUUGAUUUUCUGAUCUUACCUUGCUUUGAUAUGAAGAUUUAAUUUUCCAUCUUGAAAUGUCGAAUUUACAUAAAAUGUGAUAAAUAAUGAUUUCUAAUGGACCUGCAGCGGUAUUACGAAGUCUCAUGUCUCACGAUCCACCCCAUAUACCAUCAAACCAUGGGUCCUGUCGCGUCCAAGUAUGAACGUGGCGUGAGACCAUCCCACCGACUCGAGAUACCCUCUAUUUCGAUGAUGGCGUUCUCAGAGUCUUGUCCCAGAAGCCACCGCAUUGAAUGGACGGUUUGUUAUCGCUUUCCCUCUCCCUGACUUCCUUCCGACGAGUCCUUCUACGAACUUCGACGCGUCCCUAUAUAGAGUUUGCCAGCCGCGAAGGCUAUUGUGCAACUGAGGUUUUGUCGUCCUUUCUUUAGUCGAUUUUAAUGACUGCGACGUUUUCGAUGGCGAGUCUUGAUCGCACGAUUCCAAAACCGUCGAUACGCCCGAGCUUGCGUUUAUUGUGUUAAAUUGGUCACACCAGCAAAUAACCAGUUAGAAAACGUUAUUAAAAAAUUUAUCUCUUUCUGCAAAAUAUAGUUUCUCUUUAGCAGCCUCUUACACAAGUGUCUUUUGAGUGUCCCAAUAGACAAUCAUAAAUUUUAAUAAAUGUUACGGUUAACAUUUAGUAGUAACGGAGUCAUCUCUCUCUUCCUACUCCGCGACAAGAAGUCGGAGAGAAGCUCCUGAAAUGAAAUCAGCCUGACAUGUUGUUUUAACAUUCUACCGAAUAGAAACGGUUUUGUCCCGCGUAAUACAUUUCCGAAAUAUCAGUUUCGCUUGUAUCUGUUUAAAAUUUUAUCUCAAAAAUCAAUACUCUAUCUUGAAUGAUUUGUAAUUGCUUUUUUCGUGUAUAUCUUUCUUCGUAGAAAAUCAUAGAAGCAUUUGAUUAUAUCCUACUACGGAAAUCUCCUCUUGUGUAAAAUUGUCAGCAAGCCAUUUAUAAUUCCUCAGCAUUCGGUACAGCAACGGUAAGUUAGAAUUCGUUGGACAGAAUUUCUCGUUGCGUUGUUAUUGGCGCACGACGCACUGUCGUACUGAUACAAUUAAACAAAACAGAAAUUGACGUAACUAAUUGCGGGUUUCCUGAUUCAGUCUCUUCGCCACAAGGUAUUACUCGAAUACACGUAGGUACGUACAGACGCGUCCUGACAUUUCGGUACGAUCGCUUCAAUUAAAUCCUUCCUUUUCACGUCCCAUCACGUGUCACGCAUUGAAGGUUGCAAAUCCUCGCCAGUGUCUUUGUCGUCCAUUGCCAUCAUGAUAGGACGUGAGUUAAUCAUCGAUGGACACAUACAUCGACGCAUGGACUAUCUGUACCUGGGAGAUGCGCAACACGAAGCAGACGAGUAUCGAUGAAAUAUCAACUCUUUGAUUGAACCAGUACAUCAUUUCAGUUUUUCUCUCUCCCUAUCUCUCUCUGAUUUCACUCUUUUCUGUAAAAUGAAAGACGCACGACCAAGUUUUUCUAAAAUUAUUAAAACUCACAAAAUGAAAUGAUUUUGAUUAUUGCUUGCUACUUUAUGAAUAUUUAUUUUUAAUCGAAUCUUAAUGAUGCUAUUGUACGAAACAUGACAGGCUGGUCCAUUAGUAUCAAGUCACUAGCAGAACCGAGCAUAAUGGAUGCUUCCGAACGGAAAAAGCGAUCAAAAUAAAGCGAGGGUGAGAGCCGAGAUGAGAUCGGGGUGGAUCAAGAUGAAGAGAGAGAUUAAGUUUUCACUCGUAAAAAGGGAGCAUCGCACGGACGAAUCUGUAAUUAAAUGAAUCUGCUUAAUAAAUUAUCAGCGCGCGAUAAUUGAACAAAGAUUCCAAAUCAUUAAAACAAUCACGGGCAAUAAAACCAUUUAACUUUUAUUACCCAAUCGGUUUCACAUUUUAAAUAAAAUAUUGAUCUAUCACGUUGCUUGGAUUUGUUUUUCGCUUUAUACUCACAUAUGUUACAUAAAUAUGACAUUGUUGGUUUUAAUCUGAAGCUUCUGCGGAAGUUGCGCGUUUCCUCAACAUAAUUUUGGUUUAUUCGGGCUGGUUUGAGCAUGCAGGCAUGUUCUAAGCGCGCAUGCAUCUUCGGCUAAGGGUGUGUUUAUGCACGUGUGUUUACCUAUUAGCGACAUGUCGUCGGUGACGACGGUACAGCCGACAAGCUUCGUGAUUGUUCUCUGCUUGCAGUUUGCACCUUUGCAUAUCCGUCUACGUCAACGUCACGCUUAGAUGCUUAGAUGCUUUUCUAAUGCGUGUACCUGUGUGUUAUCACGUACUAUUUCAACGCAGUCCAAGCCAACAGCUUAAUCGUUUUCGUAAUGCAGUCCAAGUGGAUAAUCGGAAUUCUGAUAUAAAAUAUGAUAUCAAAAUUUUAAAAGUAAGCCAACAACGUGACCAAAAUACAUUGUCUCGAGAUGUGCAGCGAUUUGUAAUUAUAUACUGCAAAAAACGGUUCACUAUUUUCAAUUUAAUUUAAAUUUAUUUAAUGAACGGGAAAUUACCCUCUAGUGUCACAAAAGAUCAGAGCAGGAUAACAAUGAACGUAAAUAAUCAAAUAAGCAAUACAAUAAUCCAAAUCGCAAACUCCAGAACCGAAAAGUUCAAAAUCGAGUGAAAGCAGGAUAAAGAAAAAAGGCAUUAUGCCAACCAAAUAUUCUGAUUAAAGUCGUUAAAAAAGACAAAUAAAUUCCAUUGCACACAAAGAAUAAAAAUACAGCCUAAUAAAAGUAAUUAAACGCAUGUAACUUAAACUUAAUAAACGCAUAUCAAGACAACUAAAUUCAAUUGCACACAAAGAAUAAAAAUACUAAAUUCAAUUGCACACAAAGAAUAAAGAUACAGCCUAAUAAAAUUAAUUAAGCGCAUGUAACUUAAACUUAAUAAACGCAUAUAGCAAGUAAAAAAGUCCAAGAACGCAAUACAACAUUAAGGCAAGACAGAUGCAAAUACGAACGCAACGUAUGCAAAAUAAAAAUAAGCUAAAGUAAAUACAAACCCUGAUACAAACGCAAGGCAUAAAGACAUAAUCACAAUAACCUAGCCGCAUGUAACAGUGUAUAAGUAUGCAAGGUAUAAAGACAUAAUCAUAAUAACCUAACCGGAUGUAAUAGUAUAAAA
rnacentral:sRNA from 1 species